UCGCUCGGCCUUACGUGAGGACGCACUACGGAGGCCGAGAAACAAAUGUGGGCGCGGGCUGUACGGCUGGGCCUUCGCGGCCCUGGGGGUUGGCUCCGGGGCUUCACCUCCAAGGCGGAUCCUCAGGGAAGUGGCCGGAUCACGGCCGACGUGAUCGAGCACUUGGAGCGCCUAGCGCUUGUGGACUUCGGCAGCCGGGAGGCCGUGGCGCGGCUGGAGAAGGCCAUCACCUUUGCCGACCGUCUCCGCGCGGUGGACACCGACGGGGUGGAGCCCAUGGAGUCAGUACUGGAGGACAGAUGUCUAUACUUGAGAUCUGACAAUGUGGUAGAAGGCAACUGUGCUGAAGAACUACUACAAAAUGCCCAUCGAGUUGUGGAGGAGUAUUUUGUGGCUCCCCCAGACAGGUGGGUUCUCAGAGCUGCUGUACACUCUGGACAUUUGGGAAUGCGACUAGUCUAAGCACUCAGGUAGAUUGGCUUUCCAAGUGCCAAGUUCAAGUUCAGAAGGUCUCCUCAGAGGAGAACCAUUCUAAGCAGCCUCCAGAGACAAACAUCAGCUCAGCUCUCCAGCUCAGGGGUUACUUCUUGAUCAAGAUCAAGCAGUUAAAGGAAAUCUCUACUUCAAGCAAGGAUGGGAAAGAAAGCUAAAAAAUUUGUAACAUCUCUUUGCCAAAGCUGGAUGAACAAGAUCCCUUUCCACACAGCUAAGUAGCUGUUCUGGGAAAGGGUACCUGUGAAUACACAGAAGCCCAUCCAACGAUAGUAUUUUACUGUGAACAUUAACAUCCCUACUUCCUUCAGUCACCUGAAAAAAAACUGACGGUUAAGUAUUUUUUACUAACUAACUCUACUGAAGACAGAACUGGGAAAGAUCCAGCCAAAGCAAGGCAAUGAGUUCCUGAUGGUAAUGGAAGUAAAAGGUAUUGUCAGUUUCCAAGGAAAUAGAUCAAGUAUUUACUCAUAGACAAUUCAGUCUAUAAGACACUAUUCCCCCUUAUCUCCCAAAAUGACUGUCUAAAACUGCACUUAAGUGUAUUUUUUUUUUUUGUAACUAUUAGACAUUGUGUCUAAUCAGUAUAUUCACAGCCCAGGUUGUCCUUUUUAGUUGCUCUUUCUGGCAACUCAAGCAGCCUUUUGUCUUUACUAAACACACUCAGAGUUAUUCCUGGGUACCCACUUUGUUCCAGGCAGAGGGCUAACUUUUUCCUAAAAUCUGAAGGGUAUUGAAAGUAGACUUUACAGCUUGGGAACUUCUAACCUAGAACCAUCCACCAUGCCACAAAGUGAAUAUAUGCAAAAGGGAUACUGUAGCCACACCUAUAGCUUUUCUGAAAAGAACUGUAAAAAUAACCCUAAGACAGCUAACAAUACUGUAUUGUAUACUAAAAAUUUGCCAAGAGGGUAGAUCUUAAAUGUUCUUACCACAUAUAAAUAUUAAAAGAGGGAAUUUUGAGAAGUGA